ACAAAACUGUGUGGUUCAUAGUAAUAGAAGACUUACUGUGUUCAAAUAACUUUAAUAACAUAAACUUACCUAAUUUUUAAAGUGCAAUCAGUAAUACUUUUAUAACAAAUUUAUAUCAGUAAUGAUUUCAUAAAUAUUAAUUUAUGUUUUUGGUUAUUGUUCUCUACCAUAGAUAUCCAGUGCAGGUACAUUGACUGAACUACACCAGUCAGUUGAAAGACAUGCAAGCAUCUUGCAAACUGCUGGCUGCUUGCAGUUCCCUGUGACUGUUGAUGACAAAUUGAAAAUUGUAAAGGAGUUCAUUGAUUGGUACAUCAUUUACCGCAACCAUUUCUCUAUUCAAAGAUUCAAGGAUGGCCUUUCAACACUGAACUUCCAGAAUGCUUUGGAGCAGCAUGCUUCCGUCUUCAGGCCAUUUAUGUGUGCAAGAGUGGAACAGCUGACAUCCAAAAUAUUGGAGGAAAUAUUUGAGGUUCAGCUCAGUGAAAAGGGUAGCAGCAGACGACAUGAGGAAACAAGAGUGCUAGGAUUCUGGAGAGACUUUCUCCUUGACACAGAAGAACAAAAAACGGGUCUCUCUCUCCAGGACAUCCUGAUGUUUGCCACCGGCUUGAACACACUACCUCCAUCUUCAAUUCUGCCACCACCAAAACUGAUCUUUCAGGCCACUUCUCGUUUUCCUGUCAGUAGCACCUGCUCCAACACUAUCAAAAUACCAAUGUCCAAGACGUAUCAUCAGUUUAAAGAAGACAUGGACUUUGGGAUUCAAAACUCCCCUGGGUUUGGGCUUUAUUAAGGUCAAAUGCAUAACAACAAAACAAAAUGCUAACUAUUUAACUUGUCAAACCUGUUCAGUUAUGACACUGUUUAGUGUUUGUGUGCGACCUUCAAAUUUGGAUUCUUGUUUGUUUAUAAGUCCGCCAUGUUUUUCAGUUUGAUAUAGUUUUCGACACAUGAUUCCCAACUCUGUGGAUGUGCUAGGCCACACUGUCUCUGGAGGUUCUCAAAAUGUGCCUGAAGGUGUUCA